GGAAAUCAUUAAACUGUUCAUUUUCUACUGGCCAGGGCAAUUGGUUGCGGAUAUGAGCGCAGGCGUGGCGGACGCGGCCUACCGCUGCGGCUGGUACAGCCGGGGCAGGAGGAUUACUUCAUUACUCAAAGUCAUCAUUAUAAGAUCCCAGACUCCGGUCUACAUGGUUGCGACUAAAUUGGAGUUAGUGACACUCGAGAGUUUCGGAUUGCUCUUGAGCCGAGCGUGGUCCUACGCGUCUUUUCUAACAACUGUAUUUACAGAAGAUUUUUACUAAUUUGGAUUUGUAAGAAACAUUGGAUGUAAAAAAUAUAAAAGCACGCAAGUGAAAUGUAUAGUUUUCGUUAUACGUAUAACGAAACACAGAAUAAUUAAUAUAUGCUAUAAAUGUACUCUACAUAACUACGGGGUGGUCCAUACCAGACAGAUUUUUUAAAUAGGAACAGGGACCUGACCUGUCAGAUCCCGCCAGGAAAUUAGUACCAACUUAAUGUGGUCUUAACAAAAUCCGUAAAGUUAGUUCUUCCUUUAUAUUAUUAGUCUGAAUUGUUUUUGAGAGAGUACAACCGUAUCUAAAUUGCAAUAAAACAUUUGAAUUAUUAUUAGAAAACAAAAAAGAAUAUUUCCAAGUUUUCAAAUAAAAAAUCAAAACUCGUAAUCGGCAGGGAAACGAUUUUUUUUCCUGGCGGGGUCUCAUAGGUCCAUAAAACUACUUUUAAAAAAUCCUUCUGGUCUAGUAGUUAGACCGUCCUGUGAAGUCCUGUGUAGUCCGUUUUCAUUUCGUUUUAACCAAAUUAAUUAUGACCCUGUUUGACAAGGCCUCCCCCUGUAUUGUCCAUUAAUCUGCAUUGUUUGGCCACGGUGUUCAGCGCUUAAAAUUUUUUCAAUACAAAGAGUGCAGGUUUUAUAUAAGCAGGUACUUAAGUAGAGUUAGGUAUUAGUUUUAAACCAAUGUUUAUGCAAUGUGAUUAGUGUUCUAGUAGUACACAUAACUUUGGACUAGAUAGCACGAUGUAAAUUCCUAUUUAUUAUUUGUCAAUGUUUGUUAUGAAUAAUUCUGUUUAACAUUUACUUUUAUGUAAAGUUAAUAAGUGGUUAAAUGUUUGUAUAGUGCUGGUUUCCUUGGUACUAUAAACCUGUUUGUGAACUUUAUUCAGCUGGCUACAUAUUAAAUAUUCAGCUAUAAUAGAUGGGCUGGUUACAUUUAUUUAAUUUUAGAUACGUAUGACGCGGUUAUAAGUAGGUAGUAGCUUUAUUUCAAAAUUUACUAUCGGGAAGUAUUAUUUGCAUGUUACU